rnacentral:misc_RNA from 1 species
UUAGGUGGGUAGGGAUAAACCUGAUUAGCUGGGGCUCUGUAAGUUGACUUUAGGCUAUGGCUAUAACUGCCUGCAAAGGAAUUGAAAAAGGGUCUUGUUUUCUUGGUAUUUUCAACAAGCUUCUCUUCUCAUCUGGCAUUUUCAAAGGCUUGAUACAAAGUGACUGGCUUCAACAUCCUUACCAUUGGCCUUAUAUCAUCCCUAAGGCCUCCAAUGAACCCAAAGAGGAAAUGGCCUUUCCCCAAUCCUGG